GCAUAUCAAUAAGCGGAGGAAAAGAAACCAACAGGGAUUGCCCUAGUAACGGCGAGUGAAGCGGCAACAGCUCAAAUUUGAAAUCUGGCUUCGGCCCGAGUUGUAAUUUGCAGAGGAAGCUUUAGGCGCGGCACCUUCUGAGUCCCCUGGAACGGGGCGCCACAGAGGGUGAGAGCCCCGUAUAGUUGGAUGCCUAGCCUGUGUAAAGCUCCUUCGACGAGUCGAGUAGUUUGGGAAUGCUGCUCAAAAUGGGAGGUAAAUUUCUUCUAAAGCUAAAUACCGGCCAGAGACCGAUAGCGCACAAGUAGAGUGAUCGAAAGAUGAAAAGCACUUUGAAAAGAGGGUUAAAUAGCACGUGAAAUUGUUGAAAGGGAAGCGCUUGUGACCAGACUUGCGCCAGGCUGAUCAUCCGGUGUUCUCACCGGUGCACUCUGCCCGGCGCAGGCCAGCAUCGGUUCUCGCGGGGGGAUAAAGGCCCCGGGAACGUAGCUCCUCCGGGAAUGUUAUAGCCCGGGGCGUAAUGCCCUCGCGGGGACCGAGGACCGCGCAUCUGCAAGGAUG
rnacentral:rRNA from 2 species